CACAGACACUGGCAGACUCCAUUGGAGUUCUUCCCCUAGCCUGUUAGCAGGGUCUGCCCUGCCCACUAGAGCAUGGAUUUAAUUCAGCUCAGCCAGAGAAGGCAGCCUGCCCUAGGGACUGGCCCUACCCAACAGCAAGCCCUAAAGGCAACUUUUCCACCUUCAUAGAUGGGGUCCCUGGCAGGAAGAAUCAAAGUGCUUCACUCCUGAAAUCUAUGGUAGACAUUUAUUCUAUUAAUGGAUAAUAUUUUUGGUUGGGCUUUGCUGAUCAGUUUAGAUCUCAGAAGAGAAAACUGAGGUCCAGAGAGAUUAAGGAAGCUGCUAAAGACCAUUGGGCUGACUGAUUUCUUCUCAUACGGGGGACAUAGCUACAAACAGCUUUGGAGCUCAUAGUCUCAAAUGCUCCUUUCUGAGAGAAGAAAGAACUCGAAGCAAGAUUCACCACUCUGUUUUUAAAAGAUGGGGAAGAAUCCCUAUUUGACCUAGAUUUUGUCACAUACCCAUUGCCAAGACAAAUCACCAUGAGAGAGCAUUUAACUACCAGAAUUGGUCCAGUUUGAAUCAGGUGAUCACCUCUGGACAAAUGAUUAAAGUCAGGAGACGGAGUGAUACAAAAUGAUGGCAAUUCCUUUUUGAAUCCUAGAGUUUCUGAUGUUGGGGGUGGAGUAGAAGUUUUCUUCCUCUUCCAAAUGGAGGAAGGAAUUAUGGGUAAAAGAAACAAUGGAUGUGUUUGUCAAUUAUACUUCAAUAAAAAGUGUUUUUUAAAAAUU
ensembl:lncRNA